GAGGCACUGGAGACAAAGAUCAGCCACGUGGCAGUCAACCAUGUCUAUCUGACCAAGUUCCAAUGAAAACUCUGGACACCAAGGCUUGGGUGAGCUUCCGCAGUUGUACAUGUAUUGAUUGAUACACUUGGUGAGCACUGUCAUGCAUCACUGCCGGGGAGAUAUUUCUCAAAAGACUCCUCUGCGGGAGAGGAGAAUAGAGAAAGAAAGAAAACAACUGUGUAAGCAGACAUCAGUGUAAACCUUAGCACUGUCUCUUGAUGAGAUAAGAGGAGGAUGGCAGUGACAGGAGUGUGGUGGCGAGCCAGUCACCUGCAGUCAACCACGGCUCAUUGCUCUCACCAUGCCUGUUACAUGAAGGUAUGUAUGUAUAGGAAAAAGCACUGAAAAACUCUC
ensembl:lncRNA EDRF1-AS1 EDRF1 antisense RNA 1